rnacentral:rRNA from 1 species
UGGAAGUAAAAAAGCGUAACAAGGUUUCCGUAGGUGAACCUGCGGAAGGAUCAUUACCUAGAGUUGCGGGCUUUGCCUGCCAUCUCUUACCCAUGUCUUUUGAGUACCUUCGUUUCCUCGGCGGGUUCGCCCGCCGGUUGGACAACACUUAAACCCUUUGUAAUUGAAAUCAGCGUCUGAAAAACUUUAAUAGUUACAACUUUCAACAACGGAUCUCUUGGUUCUGGCAUCGAUGAAGAACGCAGCGAAAUGCGAUAAGUAGUGUGAAUUGCAGAAUUCAGUGAAUCAUCGAAUCUUUGAACGCACAUUGCGCCCCUUGGUAUUCCAUGGGGCAUGCCUGUUCGAGCGUCAUUUGUACCUUCAAGCUCUGCUUGGUGUUGGGUGUUUGUCUCGCCUUUUGCGCGCAGACUCGCCUCAAAACAAUUGGCAGCCGGCGUAUUGAUUUCGGAGCGCAGUACAUCUCGCGCUUUGCACUCAUAACGACGACGUCCAAAAAGUACAUUUUUACACUCUUGACCUCGGAUCAGGUAGGA